AGAAAACCCUAGUUUUCGCUCAAUGAUCUAAAUUUAACAACUAAAAUUGCUAUAAAAUGGUGUUCUCUCGCUUUCCUCAUACGAUCAACCCAUAAGGAAAAAAAUAGGCUUACUAAAAGCUAAAACUAAAAAAUGGCAAAAACUAGUACGGUUGUUUUCUUUAUGUGCAUUGUUGUUGUGGUGGGAUCACUGCAAUUCUCUAGGGCAGACAUGACAGCUGAAAGGGACACUGAGAUUGAGAUGAGAUCUAAGUUGUUGCAGAGCGAAAUAUCCAACGUAAUGCCUCAAUUCAAAUCAUGUGUAGAAACCUGCGCGAAAGCAUGCAUUGCAAAAGACAGUGCCAACACAUCGUGUCAUUCUACAUGUGAUAAAGAUUGCAUGAAAAAGGAAGUUGUUGGUAUUGUCUUGAAUCUUUGGAGAAAUGUUUUUUUUUUAACCAAGACGAUAAAUAAUUUUUUUUGUGUGCGGUCAAUUUUAGUUGCGAGGCAAACUUCACUUUUAUUAUGGAAAUUAGUGAGUUUUGUAAGAUAAAAUCAGCGACAAACUAGGCAUUCGUAAUUGACCAUGAAAUUAAAGUUAGGACGUGGAAAAUGGUCGGAUCAAGUAUAAAUUAUCUGGAUAAUUAACAUUUCAGAGAGGAAAAUCUAAAUUCCUUGACCCUCGUCUCUUUCAUUUUUGUCAUCCAAUUGGUUGCUUCUUUAUAUAAAGGUUUUAUGUUAUGUAUCGGACCGGUCUUCUUUCAUCAUUAUUUUCAACAACGAGAUCAAUAAAAUUCAUCUAAUUUUUGUGUUUGUUCACAUAA